AGACGCGUGCAUUUCGCCACAGUUCUCGCUGCAGCGCAGGCACCGUCGCCUUUAUCGGUAGACUCUGCGUCUUUGCAUAUCAACUGCUUGAUGGCUGCGGCAGAAACCGUCCUCGAGUUGCUUGGAUCAUCGAUUCAUCAUCGAACUAAACUCGAAAUUUUCUGAUGGUGAUAUUGCACACCGCGGCGAACUCACUCACACUCGCGGCGUGAGUAUGGUUGAAUGAGUGUGAUAUACGUGAUAUCGAGUGAUUCAGUGAUACGGCGGUGAGUUCGUGUCGUCGAGUGACCACGGGGUGAGGUUAAUUACAUCCAAGUCAUUCGUGCACCUCGUACCUUGGAGGCGAGCAGAAGCGGCUGGGGUUCCUCGCCUGGCAAGCACGCAAGAUCGGUCGAAGGUCCGCC
rnacentral:misc_RNA from 1 species